GAUUAGCUGUUGUCUUGUGAGAGAGAGCUGAACAGACUGCGUGAAGAUACUCCACUGCUGUACCUUAUGACAACAGCAGGAUCGAAUACAGAGAAGAAAGCUUUUGAAACUUCUCAGCAUGGAUUGUGUGAAGGAGAUCAGUGUGUCAGCCUUGGAUGCAGAUGUUCUGCUAAGAGAGAAAGUGAGGCUUAGUCGAGAUGGCCUGCUCGAUCCUGUGCUCAGGACCAACCUGGACUUUGCGAUAGGAGCUGUUGAUGCGAUUCCUUCAGUGAUGAAGAAUAAUGCAGAAAUCCAUGUGGAGGGGGAAAACCUGUUGAUCAUCUUCAGAGCUGGUGAGCCACAACUGCAUCUCCUGGUGUUUCAGGACCAAGAGGGUCCAAAGCUUUAUCAGAAAAUAACCCCUAAAAGAUGUUUGAAUGCAAGUGACGUACAAAAAGCCUAUUUCGCUGGUCACAACUGUCCUCAUGAUGUGUCAUGUAUGCAGCAAGCUAUAAAUAAUUUACGUUUUCCAAAUAAUUUUGAGUUAAAAGUCAUCUGUAAAGAGCUGAGGAUAACCUUCACCCCUCCUACACCAGGCACUACCAUUGUGGUCCCCUAAACAGCUCUUAAAGAAAGCAUAUUUAUUUUUCAGUUUCUAAAUUUAAAGCAGGCUUGCUAUUUGCUACUGGGUAAUUAUCUGAGAUAUUUGUAUGAAAAAAAAUGUUUUUUUAUUGUUUCAUCUGAUACCGUAUCUCACCAAGAGAUCUCACCAGCUCUAUUCUUGCCAGUUAUAGUUCCCUUUGAGAAUCAGAUCAGAAAUUGCACAAAUCUAGUAGGUGGGGUUCUGGUUUACAGAAGUAGUCGAAACGCAGUUGGAAAUACAAAAGCAUGCAAAAAUAUUUUUUGCACAAUAUGUCCCCUUUAAGCCUUCAAGAAAAUAUAUUUUCCCACCUCAGGCAUGAAAUCUCAGUACUAGGCAUUUCUUUCUCACUAAGUGUUGUUCAACACUGUCAGGCACCUGUACUGUAUAUUAUUCUUUAACAAACUUCUACAUCAUAUUUCCUCCUAUCAUCAAAAUAUUAAUAAAAAAUAUAUAAAAUAACAGGGUUAAAGGGACAAUCUUUAUUUUAAUACAUCAUUGAUCUAUUUGCCUUUCACAUUUUAUCCAAACUUAUUAAUUAACAUGAAGAUUUUAUUUAGCUUCUAUAAUUUUACUGACUUUCUUUUAAAUCCAUACAGUUCAACAAAUAUAUGCAAGUUUUAUUCCUGGAUCCAGGCACCUCUGGGCCUUCUCAGUGUGAUGUU